rnacentral:misc_RNA from 1 species
GAUGAAGAACGCAGCGAAAUGCGAUAAGUAAUGUGAAUUGCAGAAUUCAGUGAAUCAUCGAAUCUUUGAACGCACAUUGCGCCCCUUGGUAUUCCGAGGGGCAUGCCUGUUCGAGCGUCAUUAUAACCCUCAAGCUCAGCUUGGUGUUGGGGCCUGCUGCACUGGCAGCCCUUAAAAUCAGUGGCGGCGCCAUCUGGCUCUAAGCGUAGUAAUUCUUCUCGCUAUGGAGUCCUGGUGGAUGCUUGCCAUCAACCCCCAAUUUUUCUAUGGUUGACCUCGGAUCAGGUAGGGAUACCCGCUGAACUUAUGCAUAUCAAUAAGCGGAGGA